AAUAGAUACCCCGGUAGUCCACGCCGUAAACGAUGAGUGCUAAGUGUUGGGGGGUUUCCGCCCCUCAGUGCUGCAGCUAACGCAUUAAGCACUCCGCCUGGGGAGUACGGUCGCAAGACUGAAACUCAAAGGAAUUGACGGGGGCCCGCACAAGCGGUGGAGCAUGUGGUUUAAUUCGAAGCAACGCGAAGAACCUUACCAGGUCUUGACAUCCCGGUGACCACUAUGGAGACAUAGUUUCCCCUUCGGGGGCAACGGUGACAGGUGGUGCAUGGUUGUCGUCAGCUCGUGUCGUGAGAUGUUGGGUUAAGUCCCGCAACGAGCGCAACCCUUAUUCUUAGUUGCCAUCAUUUAGUUGGGCACUCUAAGGAGACUGCCGGUGAUAAACCGGAGGAAGGUGGGGAUGACGUCAAAUCAUCAUGCCCCUUAUGACCUGGGCUACACACGUGCUACAAUGGACGGUACAAACGGUUGCCAACCGCGAGGGGGAGCUAAUCCGAUAAAACCGUUCUCAGUUCGGAUUGUAGGCUGCAACUCGCCUACAUGAAGGACC
rnacentral:rRNA from 1 species